CAUGAAUGUCUAAGUCCAAGCUGUGUGUUGGGUGCAAGCUCACACACGGCGAAACCGCGGACGGCUCAUUAAAUCAGUCGUGGUCCAAAUGGGCUAGAGUUAUCUUACUUGGAUAACUGUGGUAAUUCCAGAGCUAAUACAUGCAACUGAAGUCCCGAUCGGCGUGCUCCGGUACAACGUGACGGACGCUUUUAUUAGACCAAACCGCUGAGAGAGUGCAAACUCUCGUAGACUCGUGUUAUGGUGACUCUGGAUAACACAUCACUUGACAAGCGCACGUAUCCAUUAAUUUGGGACGGCGCUGCCUCUUUCGAGUGUCUGCCUUAUCAGCUAUGUAUCGUUCGUUAUGUGCGACCGAUGGCUUUGACGGGUAACGGGGAAUCAGGGUUCGAUUCCGGAGAGGCAGCCUGAGAAACGGCUACCACGUCCAAGGACGGCAGCAGGCACGCAAAUUACCCAAUCCCAGCACAUGGGGGAGGUAGUGACGAAAUAUAACGAUGCGGGCGCCCCUUCUGGGGCCCCGCAAUCGGAAUGAGCGCUUUCUUUCUAAACACCCCGUUGAGAACCUACUGAAGGGCAAGUCUGGUGCCAGCAGCCGCGGUAAUUCCAGCUUCAGCAGCAUCUACUAAAGUUGCUGCGGUUAAAAGGCUCGCAGUUGAAUGUCAGUAUCAAGUACAGCGAUGGUGGACGUUGGGGUGUGGGAGUGUUCGGGCGUACGUUCUCGUGAAGCUUAACGGCUGAUCGUGCGUGCGUUCGCCUCCCCAUUUAGCUCCCGUCCGUAACAAGCCUCCUUACUUGCGUACAAAAUGGACCUAUUGGAACAUGUCGUUGCCGCGUGUGUGUGUCACCCGCAAGGGUAUCGCGCGCGUGUUUCGGCGGAAAGCCAUUGGUCGAUUGUCACCUUGAGUAAAUCAGAGUGCUCAAAGCAGUCGUAAGGAACGUGCAGCUCUGCUGUACGCUCUGUGAUGAAUGUCUUUAUUGACAGACAGUCUUGGUUUUGCAUGGUAUGUCGGAAGACGCCGUAGUUCCUGUUGGUAACGAGUCUGGUGCGGGCUUGUACACACGAUCGCGCUUGCGUGUGAAGGGGUACAACAUCACGAGACCAACAGGUGCGGAAUGAUUAAGAGGCACGGUCGAGGGCAUUGGUAUUGCGAGGCGAGAGGUGAAAUUCUAUGACCCCCGCAAGACCUCCUGAAGCGAAAGCGUCUGCCAAGGACGUUUUCAUUAAUCAUAACGAAGCCUGCGGCUUAUUUGACUCAACACGGGCCAUCUCACCAGGCCAGCACUCUUGUACGAUUGACAGAUUGAGAGUUCUUUCUCGAUUCAGUGGAUGGUGGUGCAUGGCCGUUCUUAGUUGGUGGAGUGAUCUGUCUGGUUAAUUCCGAUAACGAACGAGACUCUCCCCUGCUAACUAGUCGGUUGGAUCUUGUGUCUGGAGAGUUGUGUGGCUUGUGCUCGUACGGUCGCUGUUCGGCGCGUGUGUUCGCACGCUGCGCUCGGAUAGCUUCCUACUUGUGCUCGUUCGCACACUCCAAGUCCGCCGCUUACUCGUGUGCGAAGUGUAACAGCCGAGCCGCGAUUAAAACUCUUCUUAGAGGGAUUCACGGUUCUGAAGCCGUAAGAAACUGAGAGCAAUAACAGGUCUGUGAUGCCCUUAGAUGUUCUGGGCCGCACGCGCGCUACAAUGCCGGGCUCAGCAGGUAUCUAUCCUUCUCCGACAGGAGUGGGUAACCCUCUGAAAGCCCUCUCUCUUAUUAUCAAAGGUCACGUUCGUUCACUCGGGCGUGGCCUCCAUGGCUUGCUUGGGCCUGGGGCUUGCAAUUCUUUCCCACAAACGAGGAAUGCCUAGUAGCGGCGGGUCACUGAGCCCGCCGUGACUCAGUCCCUGCCCUUUGUACACACCGCCCGUCGCUACUACCGAUUGGGUGUACCAGUGAGAUCCUUGGACUGGCGAACCUUGUACACUAGCGAUAGAGUACAAGUGUGAACGACGGGAAGAGGCUCGAACUGGUGCACUUAGAGGAAGUAAAAGUCGUAACAAGGUUUCCGUAGUGAC
rnacentral:rRNA from 1 species